GUUCAAGUUUGCUAACAGUAGCUAAACUACAUCCAUACAUUUUUUCGAAUUAGCUGUAGCAUAGCGAAUUUAUUACAAAAUUGUAGUCAACCCACCCCUUGACCAUAGUCACAAGUUGGUCUCUUCAGAUUCGGGUACAACAUCGUUGGCCAAGUUGUCGAAUAAUUCCAGAGAAUCAGAAUUGUCAUGCGGUCUUUCUUCUGCGAAAUCUUUUUGAGAAUAUUUUGCAACAACUGCAGCGGCAAAUGUAUCACCCAUCACGUUGAUAGUCGUUCGUAGUCGAUCU